rfam:Hordeum vulgare subsp. vulgare, WGS project CAJW01000000 data, contig: morex_contig_1631120
UAUAUACUCCCUCCGUCCGUAAAUACUUGUCCUAAAAAUGGAUGUAUCUAGACUUAUUUUAGUUAUAGAUACAUGAAUUUUAUUUAUUUUUAGUGCAAGUAUUUUCGGACGGAGGGAGUAUGAG